rnacentral:rRNA from 1 species
UACGGAGGGGGCGAGCGUUGUCCGAAGUUACUGGGCGUAAAGCGCGCGUAGGUGGCGCCGUAAGUCGGGUGUGAAAUUUCGGAGCUUAACUCCGAAACUGCAUUCGAUACUGCGGUGCUUGAGGACUGGAGAGGAGACUGGAAUUCAUGGUGUAGCAGUGAAAUGCGUAGAGAUCAUGAGGAAGACCAGUGGCGAAGGCGGGUCUCUGGACAGUUCCUGACACUGAGACACGAAGGCCAGGGGAGCAAACGGG